UUCCGUGGGUGACCUGCGGAAGGAUCAUUGUAGAGGCCCGAAAGGACAAUCGCGAACUCGUAGAGCAACCGUAGUGGGCGGUAGGGGGGUGCAACCGCCGCUGCCUUCCCUGUUGGGUGCCCCAGCCGUCGCUGCCCCGCACGCCCUGCGGGAGGAGAGACGGGAACAAUCUUCGGUGCCUUGCGCGCCAAGGAGCAGCCCCGUUGGAGAGCGUAGCGUGCGGCAAGCUUAGCGCUGCUGCACGCGAGGCGAUCCUGGUACGUCUAACCUGCAUGACUCUCGGCAACGGAUAUCUUGGCUCUCGCAUCGAUGAAGAACGUAGCGAAAUGCGAUACUUGGUGUGAAUUGCAGAAUCCCGUGAACCAUCGAGUCUUUGAACGCAAGUUGCGCCCGAGGCUAUCUGGCCAAGGGCACGCCUGCCUGGGCGUCACGCCUACCGACGCUCCUUGCAUACUGCCCGUCCCACUGCUACGCGUGGCUCCAGGAAAGGAUGCGGAGAUUGGCCCCCCGCGCAUCGCUGCGUGGCGGGUUGAAGUGCGGGCCGCUGUCGGGUCGGAUGCGGCGACUGGUGGAAUGACACGCACGCCGCCGUUGAUGUGACCGACUCGUGCGGCGCAUUGGUGAACCCACGUCGACGGGCGCCACAUGAGCGCUCCCUUGACCACGACCCCAGGUCAGGCGGGGACACCCGCUGAGUUUAAGCAUAUCAAUAAAGG
rnacentral:rRNA from 1 species